UGGGGAAUAUUGCACAAUGGGCGAAAGCCUGAUGCAGCAACGCCGCGUGCGGGAUGACGGCCUUCGGGUUGUAAACCGCUUUCAGCAGGGACGAAGGUUUUCUGACGGUACCUGCAGAAGAAGCACCGGCUAACUACGUGCCAGCAGCCGCGGUGAUACGUAGGGUGCGAGCGUUGUCCGGAAUUAUUGGGCGUAAAGAGCUUGUAGGCGGUCCGUUGCGUCGGAAGUGAAAACUCAGGGCUUAACCCUGAGCCUGCUUUCGAUACGGGCGGACUUGAGGGAUGUAGGGGAGAACGGAAUUCCUGGUGGAGCGGUGGAAUGCGCAGAUAUCAGGAGGAACACCAGUGGCGAAGGCGGUUCUCUGGACAUUUCCUGACGCUGAGAAGCGAAAGCGUGGGGAGCAAACAGGCUUAGAUACCCUGGUAGUCCACGCCGUAAACGGUGGGCACUAGGUGUGGGACCCAUUCCACGGGUUCCGUGCCGUAGCUAACGCAUUAAGUGCCCCGCCUGGGGAGUACGGCCGCAAGGCUAAAA
rnacentral:rRNA from 1 species